rnacentral:rRNA from 1 species
GCCUGUUUAACAAAAACAUCGCCUUACGGAGUUUAUGUAAGGUCUGGCCUGCCCACUGUGAUUGAAGGGCCGCAGUAUAUUGACUGUGCAAAGGUAGCAUAAUCAUUAGUCUUUUAAUUGGGGGCUGGUAUGAAGGGUUGGAUGAAGUAAAAGCUGUCUCUGAUAGAUAAUAAAGAAUUUAGCUUUUUAGUCAAAAGGCUAAAAUAAAGUUAGAGGACGAGAAGACCCUAUAGAUCUUUAUAAAACUAUAUGAAAUUAUAAGAUGAGGUAGGAUUUUAUAAAAUUUUUAUUUGGUUGGGGUGACAAGGAAAUAUAGUAACUUUCUUUUAUUAAACACUGAUUAGUGAUUAAGGGAUCCAUAGUUUAUGAUUAAAAGAGCAAGUUACCUUAGGGAUAACAGCAUAAUCUUCUUAGAGAGUUCUAAUCGAUAAGGAGGGUUGUGACCUCGAUGUUGGACUAAGAUUUAGCUUGGGUGUAGUAGUUCAAGGUAGUGGUCUGUUCGACCAAUAGUAUCUUACAUGAUCUGAGUUCAAACCGGAGCUCC